AACGAACGCUGGCGGCAGGCUUAACACAUGCAAGUCGAGCGGGCGCUUUCGGGCGUCAGCGGCGGACGGGUUAGUAACGCGUGGGAACGUGCUCUUUGCGCUGGAAUAGCCCUGGGAAACGGGGGGUAAUACCGGAUGUGCCCUGAGGGGGAAAGGUUUUACCGGCAAGGGAUCGGCCCGCGUCUGAUUAGGUAGUGGGUGUGUAACGGCGCACCAAGCCGACGAUCGGUAGAUGUUUGAGAGGAUGAUCAGCAACAAUGGGACUGAGACACGGCCCAGACUCCUACGGGAGGCAGCAGUGGGGAAUCUUAGACAAUGGGCGAAAGCCUGAUCUAGCCAUGCCGCGUGGGUGAUGAAGGCCUUAGGGUCGUAAAGCCCUUUCGCCGGGGAAGAUAAUGACGGUACCCGGUAAAGAAACCCCGGCUAACUCCGUGCCAGCCGCCGCCGUAA
rnacentral:rRNA from 1 species